UGAAAGCACUUUUAUGAAAGUACCCUUACGAAAGCACUUUAUAAAAAUAAAAAUACUUUUAUAAAGUGCUUUCGUAAGGGUACUUUCAUAAA
rnacentral:pre_miRNA from 1 species